GGAGUCGGCCGGUUAAUCGCUGUCAGUUUACUGAUGGAGGAAAGUCCGGGCUCCGCAGGGCAGAGUGCCAGGUAACGCCUGGGCGGAGUGAUCCGACGGCAAGUGCAGCAGAAAAUAUACCGCCUAAGCAGUCUGUGACUGCCGGUAAGGUUGAAAUGGUGCGGUAAGAGCGCACCGGCAGUCUGGUGACAGGCUGGCCUGGUAAACCCCACCCGGAGCAAGACCGCGUAGGAAUGCUGUCUCAUCGGCUGUGCGGCUCGUA
rnacentral:RNase_P_RNA from 1 species